CUUGUCCAUGAGAAGGUUUCGCUGCCCGUGGGUGAAGGUUCUGCUUGCAAGUGCUCGCAGAAGAUGCUGCGCACGGGACUGAAAUGGUUGAACAGGAUGCCGUGCUGACUUCACAGGACAAGAAGAAGCAGAGGGCUAAGGUCUCUACGCCGGUGGGUGCUUCCCUCCCGGUGGUUAAGAAAAGCAAGAAGUAGAACC